rnacentral:misc_RNA from 1 species
UAACGUCCGCGCAAACCAAUCUGACAAGCAUCUCAUUUUCAUGGAGUGCUCUGCAUUUUUUCCAAAGUAUGAUUCUGCAUUUGAUAGCAUGACUUCGAUGUCAUGUUUCACUGCCUCCAGAGUUCGAUAGUAGUUGUUCUCUAACCUUAACUGGAUCACUUCAAGAGAGAAGGGAACUGGGUACCUGUUUGUAAAAUUGGUCUUCUGAGACACUUGCCUCAAUUUCUCAACCCCAUACUGAUCCUGUAUUUUUUUGCCAGAUUGCUUUAAUUUGGCCAAGGAAGAAAUCAGCUUGUUUCUAAUCUCAUCAUCAAUAUGAGGCUGCUCC